AUACUGUGAACAAUUAUAUGCCAACAUAUUUGACAAGUAAAGGAAAUGGACAACUUUCUAGAAACAUACAUCCCAACAAAACUGAAUCAGUAAGAAAUACUUAACUUGAAUAUACCAGUCACUGGAAAUGAAAUAGAAUCUGUAAUUAAAAAAAAAAAAAAACUACCUACAAACAGAAGUUCAGGACCAGAUGGCUUCACUGGGGAAUUCUACCAAACACACAAAGAAGAACUUGCACUGAUCCUUCUAAAACUCUUCCAGAAGAUUGAAGAAGAAGGGACACUCCCAAAGACAUUCUAUGAAGCCACCAUCACCCUGAUACCAAAACCAGACAAAGACACUAUCAAAAAAGAAAAUUACAGGAACAAUUACGUAACGUUGAGUGUGGAAGCCAUGACAUAAGGAGCGCAGAAUUAAAAGAUGGAAUAAGCCCAAGCUAGGAUUCAGAGAGGUUAAGUAAUUGGUGUGAGUUGGCUGGAAGAGAGGGAGAACUUAAAAAGAUUUUUAUACUGGAAAUAUAUACAUAUCAAAUGACUGAAGACAGAUGGAGAGCUUUUCUUAUAUGGGAUUGAAAUCUGCACGUGUCUACCAAGCUCCCAGGAGAUGCCAGUGCUGCUGGUCUGAGGACCAUACUUUGAGGACUCAGGGGCACUAUUUUAUGCUCCUACCUUCAGAGGGAAACAGGGUAUAGCAGAGACAAAGGAAUCUUUUCCUGAGUUCUGAGUUUCAAAAGUUUAGGUCUUUGGGGGAAAAGGGAAGAACUUAGGAAAAAAUGUAAAGAUUGGAGAGAAGUCAUGAUACAAUUGGACUGGAUUGCAGAGAAAAUCAGUGUCCCUAAGAAGACCCCUUCUCCCUCCUACCCUCCCCCCACCCCCUGGUUGGGAGAAGCAGAACUCCAAGAGAAAUGUGGGGAAUCUGUGGGGAGUUAUAAGAUUCAUUCAUGCCAGGAAAGAUGGGGCAAAGUUCUCAGAAGACAGAGCAGAAUGACUGUCUCCUAAAGAAAGAUAAGUUUACUGUUUUAAUUCUCACGAGGAUGCUCUGAGACAGGCAUGAUUACCCCUGUUUUAACAGAAGAGAAAGCUGAAGCCCAGUGAAGCUGCAUGACUUGAUGAAGGACACGUGACUAAUUGCGGAACUGGAACUGGAAAGCAAGUCUUUGGACUUUUUUUUUAAAUUGCUUUGCAUUGUAAUGGUGACACGAAUAUAACAUUAUUAUAAUCUCUGGUUGAUAUUUUACACAUUUUAUAAAGCCAUGUAAGGGAGAGUAAAAGAUUGCUUGCUGGAACUCCACAGAAGAGGUAAAACAAAGAAAGGUGAAAUAUUGAAAUGUAUUGAUUUUGAUCACAGAAUGGUAGAUCUCACUCUACCAUUCACACUCUCACUCUCUUUCUCUUCCUUUCUGAUUUAUAUCUCAUCAGUUUCUGGAGAAGGAUUGAUGGAGGCUCUUUGGUUGACUCCCAGGGAAGUAAUAUAUAGUGAAAUUAUUUUCAAAGUUUAGCAAAAUACAUUGGUUGCCUUCAUAUUAUGAAGAACCAACAAUACUGAUAAAUGAAAAAACCAUGUAGGUUGUACAUGCUUUUAUGCUUUAUAUGAAUGGAGUCAUAUUAUAAGCAUUUUCCAUAGCCUGCUUUUUGGUUUAAGAUUAUGUUAUUAGGAUUCAUCCCUAUUGUUUUGUGUAGGUGUAGUUCUUUAAUUUUUACUGUCGUAUGUGAAAUUCCAUUGCACAUAUGUACCACAAUUUGUUUAUCCUUUGUAUUGUUGAUAGACAUUUGGGUUGUUUCCAGGUUUUUGCCAUAACAAGUAAAUGCUGGUAUGAAUGUAUGCAAUGGUGCAUGUAUGUAUCCUGGUGCAUGUAUGCAAGUGUCGCUGUAGGGGAUAUAUAUUCUUAGGAGUAUAAUUGCUGGGUCAACUUUAUUAGAUAAUAAAGUUGCAUCAACUUUAUCAGAUAAUGUCAUAGUGUUUUUCCAGAGUCAGUUUUGUAUCAGUUUACACUCCAAACAGCCAUGUAAAAGUUUUGUUUGUUCCACAACCACUUUUUAUACUUAUUAUUGUCAUUUCUUUACUUUUGCUAAUCUGGUAGCUCAGUGUAAUUUUAAUUAGUAUACCUCAAGUACUAAUGAGAUUAAGCACUGUUUCUUAUGUUUUUUGGUCAUUCUUGUUUCUACUUUUCUGUUACUUUCUAGGAUCUUUGCCUAUUUUCUAUUGGGUUGUCUUUUGAUCAUUGAUUUGAACACGUGUUGUUGUUUUUUUUAAAACAUAUCUU